rnacentral:rRNA from 1 species
GAUGAACGCUGGCGGCGUGCCUAAUACAUGCAAGUAGAACGCUGAAGCUUGGUGCUUGCACCGAGCGGAUGAGUUGCGAACGGGUGAGUAACGCGUAGGUAACCUGCCUGGUAGCGGGGGAUAACUAUUGGAAACGAUAGCUAAUACCGCAUGACAACAGUUAUUGCAUGAUAACUGUUUAAAAGGGGCAAUUGCUCCACUACCAGAUGGACCUGCGUUGUAUUAGCUAGUUGGUGAGGUAACGGCUCACCAAGGCGACGAUACAUAGCCGACCUGAGAGGGUGAUCGGCCACACUGGGACUGAGACACGGCCCAGACUCCUACGGGAGGCAGCAGUAGGGAAUCUUCGGCAAUGGACGGAAGUCUGACCGAGCAACGCCGCGUGAGUGAAGAAGGUUUUCGGAUCGUAAAGCUCUGUUGUAAGAGAAGAACGAGUGUGAGAGUGGAAAGUUCACACUGUGACGGUAUCUUACCAGAAAGGGACGGCUAACUACGUGCCAGCAGCCGCGGUAAUACGUAGGUCCCGAGCGUUAUCCGGAUUUAUUGGGCGUAAAGCGAGCGCAGGCGGUUAGAUAAGUCUGAAGUUAAAGGCUGUGGCUUAACCAUAGUACGCUUUGGAAACUGUUUAACUUGAGUGCAAGAGGGGAGAGUGGAAUUCCAUGUGUAGCGGUGAAAUGCGUAGAUAUAUGGAGGAACACCGGUUGGCGAAAGCGGCUCUCUGGCUUGUAACUGACGCUUAGGCUCGAAAGCGUGGGGAGCAACAGG